rnacentral:tRNA from 1 species
GCCGGGGUUGCCUAGUCUGGUACGGCGCCAGAUUGAGGAUCUGGUUGGCGUCAUUCCGUGAUGCCACGCGGGUUCAAAUCCCGCCCCCGGCG